CACCCCACUCAUCACCGCGCGAAGAGGACGACGCGUCGCCGGAGCUCAUCUUCACCAAGCCCGCACUAUGGACGUUGAUGCCACCGAGGUCAGUGUCACGGAGGUCGACGCCACGAUGGCCACCCCCACUCAUCACCGCUCGAUGAGGACGAUGAGUCGCCGGAGCUCAUCUUCACCAAGCCCGCGCUAUGGACGCUGACACCAUCGAGGUCGAUGUCCCGGAGGUCAACGCCACGAUGGCUGCCCUCCACUCAUCGCCGCUAGACCAUGAUGCCGUUUAGCCAACCAUGGUGCUCCCCACCGGAUUCUUCACCAAGCUAGCUCUAUGGAGGCCAACGGCACACAAGUCACCAUCACCACUCACGCCCACUUCGCCACGAGGCGCCGCGGAAGGACAACGGCACAGAGCAUGCCACGAUGCCGCCCACCGUUCGAUGUCGCCAAGCCGGCGCCAUGGAGGCCGAUGCCACGGAGACCACCCCCACUCCUCGCGCCCACUUCGUCACACGGUGCCGCGGAACACAAUGACACAGGGCACGCCACGGCGCCGCCCACCGUCAAUAUCGUCAAGAUGGUGCCUUGGAGGUCGAUGACACGUAGGUCAGCCUCACCGCUCUAUGGAGCCCGUCGUCCGCUUCGUCGCGCUGGAGGGACGCCGCUGAAGACGGUGAUCUGGAGUUCGCCGUCGGGCCAUUCGUUCACUUCAUCAAGAUGGUGCCGUAGAAGUCGACGACGCAGAACUCGCCAUCACACUGCUCACCUCCAUUUCAUCACGCCGAGGACCACGACAUGGUGCUCGCCACGAUGCCUCCCGGCGUUCAAAUCACCCGUCACACCCUUCGCCCACCUCGACGAGCCGGUACCAUGAAGGACGAAGCCGCGGACCAUGUCGACAUCACCGACUCCUUCACGUGGCAUGACGGUGCUGCUCGCGUCUCCUUCAAGGGAAACGAGAUCCCAUUUGGCAUCGGGUUAGUGCCUAUCCUUCAUCUCGUCCGGACUCGAUGGUGCCUUGGCGAUGGUGUCACGUUAGUCCAGCCAAACAUCAUGAAGUGGUCUACACAAGAACAAGAAGGCAUGCUCCUGAUACGUACUCGUGUGCGUCUAAGGCGUGAAGAUGGCCGUUUGGCUCACCACCGCAUGAAGCAAUGGACGUGGUACUCGGGAUGUCGCCACACAUGCCGUCCAUUUCCAGCCGGAGGAUUUCGUCUACAUCAAAUGCUAUAGAAGAAUGAAGCUGAACAUUAACGCGUCUUACAUCAUUCAAGAAGAAGAGGUGGAGCUCGUCACAGCGUCGUACAUUCGUGGCGCCGCACGCUCAAGGAAGAGUCCCUGCAAGUGACGCCACAUCGUGAAGAUGACACCUUACAACGGUGCCUGUAUCCUGCUUGUGAAGAUGGUGCCUUGCCACAGUGCCGCUGCUACACGCGUCACGCUCAUUCAUAGGCCGGAGCCGAGCAGGUUGGCACCGCCCGAGGACAAGGCGCGGCUGCAGGGCGACGCGACUUCAACAACAACACCGCUCCUCUACGGUCUCGUGAGACGAUGCCUUGACUACGCCGACUGCCGUGGACUCAGCGUCUGGCCGGGACGAGGUGUCGACCACUCAGGCCACGCUGGCGCGAGCAACACGACGGUCAUCACCGAUGAUGGUCUCCACCGACAAUUACUCCCGCAAGGCGUAGCCUCUUGCACACCCUGAGAAGCUACUGGUCGUCGAGAAGUCCGAGCGCGAUCCAUGCUACCCCAACAACAACUCCUCCAACGCCGUCAAGACCGACGAGGCACGACGGCGAGGGCAAGCGCGGCCACCGCAAAGGCCACGCUACUUGCGGCGCGUGUACCGACGAGGACAUGGGCUCUGCCGCCGCCCACACACACAUCACCAUCAUCAUGCAUGGAGAACGCGAAGCGAAGACGACGAAGACGACCACACAGCUCAAUCGGAGGUAUCCCGCGGAGCAACCCGCGGGAGUAAUUAACCGGGAGCUUUUCGAGGCCCCGGGAACCAGGAGAUCACACAAUCGCCACAGCCAUCUUGGCCGUGCUAGUAGGCCACGGAGCGCACCCUUUUUUUUGGGAUAUUGUAAUUUUAUUUAUCCAGUGAGAUUAAUGAAAUACAUGUUCCCGUA